rnacentral:piRNA from 1 species
UCCUUUCAUGUGUGAUGCUUGACAAGUGU